rnacentral:tRNA from 1 species
AAGGCUUUAGCUUAAUUAAAGCGUCUGAUUUGCAUUUGGAAGAUACAAGAUAAGGUCUUGUAAGUUUUA